rnacentral:rRNA from 1 species
GAUGAACGCUGACAGAAUGCUUAACACAUGCAAGUCUUUGGCGAAGCUGUGCUUGCACAGCCUAGCCAAGGCGGACGGGUGAGUAACGCGUAAGGAACUUGCCCUGCAGUCAGGGAUAACAGACGGAAACGACUGAUAAGACCUGGUAAAGUCAGGCGGACUCAUGUCCAGCCUGAUGAAAAGAGAUGCUGCAGGAGAGCCUUGCGUCCUAUUAGCUUGUUGGUGGGGUAACGGCCCACCAAGGCGAUGAUAGGUAGCCGGCCUAAGAGGGUGGACGGCCACAAGGGGACUGAGAUACGGCCCUUACUCCUACGGGAGGCAGCAGUGGGGAAUAUUGGACAAUGGGGGCAACCCUGAUCCAGCAAUUCUGUGUGCACGAUGAAGGUUUUCGGAUUGUAAAGUGCUUUCAGCAGGGAAGAAAAAAAUGACGGUACCUGCA